ACCCAGAUGAUCCUCAGUGGUCUGGGGUGCAGGCCUCAAACCUGUAGCGGACUGGUGACAGAGUGGUUCAAUUCCACCUUUCAGGC
rnacentral:tRNA from 1 species